rnacentral:lncRNA from 1 species
UUCUCUUUUAUUUUGUAUUUUUUUUCUUGGUUUCCAAUCUUGUGAUCAUGUCACUGGAAAAUUGGAGAGAUAGCUCCUUUUAUAUUCAGUGAUACUACAACCAGUAUUACUGUGGAAAAAUAAAAAUAAAUGUAGGCCAUAUAAGGUGAGGAGUUGAGAAGAGAAUAAAAGGAGGGGGUUCAUUGAUGUGUUUAGGUGGCUUAUUUGAUAGUGGCCCCAAUGGUGCUCGAGUUGUGGCUAAUAAUCCAUACAGCAACUCUACAAUACCCGUCGAUGCUAUC